rnacentral:rRNA from 1 species
GAUCAUGGCUCAGGAUGAACGCUAGCUACAGGCUUAACACAUGCAAGUCGAGGGGCAGCAUGACGAUAGCUUGCUAUUGUUGAUGGCGACCGGCGCACGGGUGAGUAACGCGUAUCCAACCGUGCCCUUGUCCAUCGGAUAACCCGUCGAAAGGCGGCCUAACACGAUAUGCAGUUCUCAGCAGGCAGUCUAACGAGAACGAAAUGUAAAGGAGAAGGAUGGGG